UACGUAGGGUGCGAGCGUUAAUCGGAAUUACUGGGCGUAAAGCGUGCGUAGGCGGUUCGUUAAGUUCGUUGUGAAAGCCCCGGGCUCAACCUGGGAACUGCAAUGGAAACUGGCGGGCUUGAGUGUGGCAGAGGGGGGUGGAAUUCCGCGUGUAGCAGGUGAAAUGCGUAGAGAUGCGGAGGAACACCGAUGGCGGAAGGCAGCCCCUGGCCAACACUGACGCCUCGAGGCACGAAAGCGUGGGAGCAAACAG
rnacentral:rRNA from 1 species